rnacentral:rRNA from 1 species
GACGAACGCUGGCGGCGUGCUUAACACAUGCAAGUCGAACGGAAAGGCCCUGCUUUUGUGGGGUGCUCGAGUGGCGAACGGGUGAGUAACACGUGAGUAACCUGCCCUUGACUUUGGGAUAACUUCAGGAAACUGGGGCUAAUACAGGAUAGGAGAUCCUGCUGCAUGGUGGGGGUUGGAAAGUUUCGGCGGUUGGGGAUGGACUCGCGGCUUAUCAGCUUGUUGGUUGGGUAGUGGUAUACCAAGCCUUUGACGGGUAGGCGGCCUGAGAGGGUGACCGGCCACAUUGGGACUGAGAUACGGCCCAGAGUCCUACGGUAGGCAGCAGGGGGGAAUAUUGCACAAUGGGCGGAAGCCUGAUGCAGCGACGCCGCGUGCGGGAUGACGGCCUUCGGGUUGUAAACCGCUUUCGCCUGUGACGAAGCGUGAGUGACGGUAAUGGGUAAAGAAGCACCGGCUAACUACGUG